GACGAACGCUGGCGGCGUGCUUAACACAUGCAAGUCGAACGAUGAAGCUGGAGCUUGCUCCAGUGGAUUAGUGGCGAACGGGUGAGUAACACGUGAGCAAUCUGCCCUUGACUCUGGGAUAACUGCGGGAAACUGUAGCUAAUACCGGAUACGACACCUUGGGGCAUCCCGGGGUGUGGAAAGAAUUUCGGUCAAGGAUGAGCUCGCGGCCUAUCAGCUUGUUGGUGAGGUAAAGGCUCACCAAGGCGACGACGGGUAGCCGGCCUGGGAGGGUGACCGGCCACACUGGAACUGGGACACGGUCCAGACUCCUACGGGAGGCAGCAGUGGGGAAUAUUGCACAAUGGGCGAAAGCCUGAUGCAGCAACGCCGCGUGAGGGAUGACGGCCUUCGGGUUGUAAACCUCUUUUAGCAGGGAAGAAGCGAAAGUGACGGUACCUGCAGAAAAAGCACCGGCUAACUACGUGCCAGCAGCCGCCGUAA
rnacentral:rRNA from 1 species